rnacentral:rRNA from 1 species
GACGAACGCUGGCGGCGUGCUUAACACAUGCAAGUCGAACGGAAAGGCCCUGCUUUUGUGGGGUGCUCGAGUGGCGAACGGGUGAGUAACACGUGAGUAACCUGCCCUUGACUUUGGGAUAACUUCAGGAAACUGGGGCUAAUACCGGAUAGGAGCUCCUGCUGCAUGGUGGGGGUUGGAAAGUUUCGGCGGUUGGGGAUGGACUCGCGGGUUAUCAGCUUGUUGGUGGGGUAGUGGCUUACCAAGGCUUUGACGGGUAGCCGGCCUGAGAGGGUGACCGGCCACAUUGGGACUGAGAGACGGCCCAGAAUGCUACGGGAGGCAGCAGUGGGGAAUAUUGCAGAAUGGGGGGAAGCCUGAUGCAGCAACGCCGCGUGCGGGAUGACGGCCUUCGGGUUGUAAACCGCUUUCGCCUGUGACGAAGCGUGAGUGACGGUAAUGGGUAAAGAAGCACCGGCUAACUACGUG